AAUGAACGCUGGCGGCAGGCCUAACACAUGCAAGUCGAGCGAGUGGCGGACGGGUGAGUAAUGUCUGGGAAACUGCCCGCUGGAGGGGGAUAACUACUGGAAACGGUAGCUAAUACCGCAUACCAUCGGAUGUGCCCAGAUGGGAUUAGCUUGUAGGUAAGGGAACGGCUCACCUAGGCGACGAUCCGUAGCUGGUCUGAGAGGAUGACCAGCCACACUGGAACUGAGACACGGUCCAUACUCCUACGGGAGGCAGCAGUGGGGAAUAUUGCACAAUGGGCGCAAGCCUGAUGCAGCCAUGCCGCGUGUAUGAUGAAGGCCUUCGGGUUGUAAAGUACUUUCAGCGGGGAGGCGUUACCCGCAGAAGAAGCACCGGCUAACUCCGUGCCAGCAGCCGCGGUAAUUC
rnacentral:rRNA from 1 species